rnacentral:rRNA from 1 species
GACGAACGCUGGCGGCGUGCUUAACACAUGCAAGUCGAACGCUGAAGCUCAGCUUUUGUUGGGUGGAUGAGUGGCGAACGGGUGAGUAACACGUGAGUAACCUGCCCCCUUCUUUGGGAUAACGCCCGGAAACGGGUGCUAAUACUGGAUAUUCACUGGUCUUCGCAUGGGGGUUGGUGGAAAGGGUUUUUCUGGUGGGGGAUGGGCUCGCGGCCUAUCAGCUUGUUGGUGGGGUGAUGGCCUACCAAGGCUUUGACGGGUAGCCGGCCUGAGAGGGUGACCGGUCACUGUGGGACUGUGAUGCGGCCCAGACGCCUACGGGAGGCAGCAGUGGGGAAUAUGGCACAAUGGGCGCAAGCGUGAUGCAGCGACGCUGCGGGAGGGAUGGAGGCCUUCGGGUUGUGAACCUCUUGCGGUCAUGGUCAAGCCGCAACAAUGGUUGUGGUGAGGGUAGUGGGUAAAGAAGCGCCGGCUAACUACGUG